UGACAGGACUACAAAAAUGUCUGUAUAUUAGUACAAACGUAGGCCUAUUGAUUGGUCUGAACUUUCGAAGUGAAUUGCUCAAAGUAAAAAACAAAGGUGUAGAAAAUAAUGUCACAUUAGCCAGUGGAUCCAUGGGGUAAGAAGUAGAUCAGAACAGAUCCAGGAUCAGUUUACACAACCCAAAUCAUAGCCCAUUACAACGCAAAACUGACUUCAUAAUGCGAUAAUUGGGCGCCAAUCUGUGGCGGGAAUAUUUAUUGAUCAUGCGCAUGGAGGCCUGUUCGAAUGUCAAACAACAACCGUUAGUGAUACAACUUGUCAAAAUCACUUAGUCAUGUUGGAGGCAUGAGAGUUAUCAAAAUGAAAGGGUUGUUUCCUAAAGACCAAAAAUAAAUCAGCCGAACAGUUAAAAAAAGAAGCCAGAAUGAGGUACCUGUACAUUAGUUGCUCUUUGUGUAUGGUGUAUGUGUGCACAAUUUACGCAGAGGUCAUCUACACCAACAGUUGGGCUCUAUAUUUAGGUGGCACUCCUGAACAAAUCAACAAGAUUGCAAAGAAACAUGGUUUCCAUAUCUUGGGAAAGAUAUUUCCAGAUGGCAACUAUUACCAUAUGGAGCAACGAGGGGUGGCAAAACAAUCAUUGCAGGCACACUAUUUGCAUAAUCUUCGACUGAAAAUGGACCCUAAGGUGAAAACCCAAUAGAUCUGUAAAACACUUUCUAAAAUUGGCUGUGAUAACCAGUCCCAGUAUUGCUCUUAUUGUGAUGAGUGUAAUGAUCUACCUGUUUCUCAGGUGCUUUGGUUUGCACAGCAAUCUGGAAGGAGUAGAAAUAGAAGACACUCUUUCACAGUACCCACUGAUCCAUUUUUCAAUCAGCAGUGGUACCUGGUACAUGUCAACAUUAUUCUUUCAUUUUUGUUUGAAGUUUAUUUCCAUAAUAAGAAGCUCUUUAGAUGUUUAUUCUGCUGUUUGAGGGUUUUCUGCCUUGAGUGAAAACAUAUGGUAAACCUGUUUUGAAAAAAAAUAAUUGUAACUGUAGGCUUCUGCUUUUCCAGAGUGAGGCCUUUAAUCAGAAUGUGGUGGCCGCCUGGGCUCGAGGCUACACGGGCAAAGGGGUAGUGGUGUCCAUCUUAGACGAUGGCCUAGAGACAAGCCACCCAGACCUUGCUAAAAAUUAUGUGAGCUAUCGAGAUGAUUAUUGUUGUAGGGGCAUUUAUUGCAUUUUGUUAAUCAUGAAGACAAAUGGAAAAUGAUCCAUCAGUAGAAUAAAAAAACAUUGCAUUGUACCUGUAGGAUCCACUGGCUAGCUAUGACAUGAAUGAUAAUGACCCCAACCCAGAGACUCAAUACUCUCUGACCAGACCAAAGAGGCAUGGAACACGGUGUGCUGGGGUGGUGGCAGCGGUGGCAAAUAAUGGGGUGUGUGGGGUUGGAGUGGCAUAUCAGGCCAAGAUCGGA